rnacentral:ncRNA from 2 species
GCAACGCAUCGGGGGAGCCGAAGGGCUGAGAGGGGAAGGCCAUCCUUCCCGACCCCUUGAACCUGAUCCGGGUAACGCCGACGAAGGGAAGGUGCGGGAUUCAAUAC